ensembl:lncRNA
CUGUAAAUGGCAGAAGGAUAUAAAUGCCAUCCCGGAGGACAACCUGGUGUGAAUUGAGAAGUGUGAUCCUUGGAGACGAAGGAGGCUGCCCUGUGUGUCUCUUUCUGGUUUCUUUGACCCACAAGCUCUCCUAGUCACUGGGAUGACUUCUGGCCUCCCUUUCUCUCUUGGGAUGUAGGCUAUAGUGUGUUCUUGGUCAAUAACCAUCACUGAGAGAAUGUUUCCCCCCCAAAACAUGUUUUCUUUCCGUUAUCUCUGCAACAUAAUACAGAUGGAGCUUCAGCCUCAGCAGUCUCCAGCCUACUGCCUUCCCUUCAUCCAGUAUGCAACAAAGGCUUGUCAAGCUCCCCUGCUCCAGGGCCUCUGCUAGGUUAAAUGGUGAAGGUCCAGCAGCAGUUCAGAGACAGGUACCCGAGAUACACACGAGUGAAAAAUCAAAUACCGAGUCAAGGGUAGAGAGAAUUGAUAGCUCACAGGGGAAGUAAGAGCAAACCAAAGUGUUUUCAAGACUGGGAAAACUGGAGCAUUUCUUUCGAUAAGGUGGAUGGAGCCCCAAAAGAGGAAGAAAUGAAAGAUUCUGGGUGGGUGAGUAGCAGCAGGCUGGGUUUAAACUGCUUCCAAGAGGCCAGGCUCUGAUGAAGUGUCAGUUUUUCACUUGUGACCCUAAGCAGGGAGUACUGUUCAGAUAUGGAAAGAUCUACCAUCCCUUUCAUAGCAGACUUGCACAGCCAAGGAGGACUUUGAGCUGGGAUCUUGGUGUGAAAUGAAUUAUUCUGCUCCAGAAGACAGCAUCUUAAAUGCACCUGAGCCUGAAUCCUGGAUUUUGCUUCCUUUGUGUUCCUGCCAUUUGCUGUGAUAAAUACCUUUUCUCUCAACAGAAGGAAUAUACGGAUGUGGGCACAGCCAUCUCCCAAAUAACUAGGCUCCUCCAUCUGACUCAGUAGCCAUCCUUCUUCCCAGGACAUCUGCCUCGCAGAACCACCCUCCUGGGGAAUGAGCCAGUGUUUACCCGUGUGUGAUUCUUAAGCAUUUCCUGAGCAUCUGCUGAGCCCUCCACUCUGCAGGAGGUCUCUCUGCAACAUGCAAGUAAUUUCCUUCAAUAAACAUUCAUCAUAUGCUUUCCGUGUUGCAGAGAAUAAGGCUGUACCCAGAGGCAAGGCCUUGCCCUCUUCAAGCUUACCUUCCAGGGGCAUGUGAAACUAGGGAAAGAGAUGGAAAUAUGUAAUUAUGACAAGAAUAAGUUUCUUGUCCUUAAGGAGUUAUUGUUGAAUAGGGAAAAU